GGGGCGGCGACGCGGCCGCGGGCUCCGGCAAGGCGCCGGGCCAGGCCGACGACGUCGACCCUGACCUCAUCCCGGACAAGUUCGAACCUCAAGAAGACAGUGAGUGUGUUCCGCUGAGGGACAUGUCUCCCGCUCUUACGUCUUACCAGAACCACUGUUUGACCAACACCUGGAGGAUAUCACACGAUCAGCAGGCGAGCCAGGCGCGGCUGUCGGCGGCCC